UCCGCUGCCAGCGCUGGGGCUGCCCCCGCAGCCCGGGAUGCGGUGUGGUCCGCGGCCCGGGGAGCAGGCCCUCCGCACCGCUGAGGCGGCUCCUCGGGGCUGCCAGACAGCAAAACGAUGCUGAUAAAUGGGUGGUGUGUAGGGAGCUGUCUAAGCGCCCAGCCAUCCCUGCAGCUACGUAUUUAAGCUUAACCUCAUCCGCUCCGUGGCAUUCAAUUCCAUCGCCAGUAGCCCGUGCUCUGGGAGAGCCCUCAUCACCCAGGCAGGUUGGCCUGUACGGUGGGCCCAGGCCAGAUGGGAUGGCAGGAACACAGAUGGGGGCCCCAGCUAGCUUUGGCACCACUGGAAGUGCUGGAAGGGGUGAUUGCAUCGCCAAUGAAUGUAUCUGUUUCAGCCCUGCUAGCCCAGCAAAUUAUAGUGGAGCAAUUACCUGGGCUGGCUUCGAGGGGCUUGCACAAGACCCUGGAUGUCAAGUAACUAUCCAAUACUGAAGCCUGUCCCAAAGUGUUUUCUUUGUAGCUCAUAUCCUAUAUUAAAAGUGUAAUAGAUUGGCCUUCCUGGGUCACUGUCCCCUCUCCACCUGCAAGAUACAGAGGGGUCUUACACCACCUGAGGGACAGAAACCUCACAUCAGCCAAAAGCUUCCCUAGCCCAGUGCUCUUCCAUGCAUGUCCCAGGAAUGAGCUGAGGCUGCUGUUGUGUCCUUUCCUCUUCUCCCUGCACUGAUGCUGAGUUGAGGUGGAGAAAUGCACCAUAAUGUGUGUGAAGCUAGAUAGUUUCUUCAGGAAAUGUGGUGACCGUUUCCUAUGGAAGGGUGUAUUACUGAUAGAAAAUGCAUGUCAAUCCUGCAGUUGGAGCCAAGAGAAGACAGUUCCCUUCAAAAAUAAUUCGACUGUGAGGGGGACUGGUGCAGGAAGAAGUUGGGAAUAAUAAGAAAAUGUAAAGAUUCUGAGAACAAAGUCAUAUUUUUGGCUGGUGUAGAUUUAGGUACAGGGGUCAGAAAUUUUGGACAAUGCCCCAAUAGUGGGGAAGUGUAAUUAAGUAUUAAUCUAUUCAUUAGCCCUGUAGUCUUUCUCUGAAACAUUUGUCACAGCCCACAUUCCAGAACUGAGAUGCUGUUCAGGAAAAAAGAGGUCAGCUUCUUGAAAGGUGAACCAAGGCAGCUCGCAGAGGCACCUUCUGUCAGCCACAGGAAGGUGGAAUCCCAUUACUGCAAAUUUGCUCUGCAAAUUAAGCCUCUGGGGACCAGUUUCAAACAGAAAAGGAAGGCUGUGAGCUUUGCUGCCUGUGCCAAGGAUGGUAGCUGUUGCAAAUAGAUUUUCAGGAUGUGGUGCUGAUGAGCCUGUGGUACCAUGGUGCUGCUCCCUGCAACAGGGAAGCAUAGGAAUGAAAGUUGAUGGGUUUCCAGCUGAACUGCCCUGCACAUGAGGUACCCACACUGUUGCCAACUUCACAGCACCAGUGAAUACUUCAGAUUUGAAGUAUUUGCAUCUGGAAAAAGGCAAUGAGGUUGUCAUUUUAUUCCACAGAGAAAUAAACCUUUAUAGGUCACUGCUAGCAGGCUUUAUCUGUAGGAUUCCUGGGUUACCAUCUGAUUGCUCCAGAGAGAUCUGGAUCCUGUUGUGCCAGGCAAAACCUACUCCAGGAGAUGUGUGUAUGCCUGUAACCACGGAGAGAGUGGCUAUGGUGAUCAGUUGCCUUUUUGAUGACCUUUCAAACCAGCCAUCACACACUGUUUAUAGUUUUCCUAUGUCACAGAGCAAAAUCAGCCUAUGCCCAGACCACUUCCUUGUUGCUUCUCAGGCCCUGUUGGCAGUGUGGCAGGAAUCACACAGCCAGCCUUCAGCUCUUUGGCUGGAGAGUAAUCCACAGCCUGCACAGGCUCUGGAGGCUGAGCACUCUAAAAAAGGAAGCCUACCUUUCUCUGCCUGCAUCUGCCACCUGGCAGGUAGAUGAUGGAGCAGAAACCAGUGUAUAAUACAAAUUCUGCCUGAAGAUGAGGAAGAAUCAGUGGUGAAAGGGUAUCCACCUAGUAAGAACAAAAGUCACCAACCCCAGGUUUGCUCUGGCCACUGCUGCCUGCUAAGGGUCUGCAAAUUUGCAGAUGGCUUUUGACUCUGGUUCAUUACCCUUUGCACUCUUCCAAAUAAUUUUAUAUCUUGAUGUACCUGACAGUUGUCUGGGAAUCUGUCCAGCCUUUAAAUGAAAGGCCAGGAGAGGGAAUUGGUUUUCUAUUUCUGACUUUGUAACUUAACACCUGCCCAACCUGUGGCAAGUCACUUGGGGCCAAAUUCUUAGAUAGGUAGAUUAAUGUGGGCUCCUCAUUUUUAGGUCUCUCUCAGUGUCCAGUUGUAGCUUUAGAUGCCUUCAAAAUUUAAUUCCUCAGUGUUCCUGGCUCAGCUGUCAUUUAAAUCUGGAGGCACCUUCCACUUUUUUAAUGUGAAAAAUUUCCUACUGCUUCACACACUUGGAUGCAUGUUAGUUUUGAUGAUGUUGAGUAAUGUCCUUAACUGAUUCACUGGGCAUUAGAUGUUUCUCCAUCUACAGAGUUCAAAGCUUAACAUAGGAACUUGCUUCUUGCACUGAAAUCCACUCAAAGCAUAAGAGAAAAAUGCUCUCACUCUCUCACCUGUCCCUAUCCCCUGUUUUUUUAAAACUGGUAACUCUCUACUUAAAGUGUUUGCCCAAGGAGGAGACCUAAAAUCACACCUACAAUUUCCAGGAGAGCAUCCUCUCUGAGGGGGUGAAAUGGGACUGUCCUGCUGAGACUGGCUUGUUAUAGGUAACUACCUGGGUAAUCACUCUAUUAAGCUACCUGUGGGUCUCACAUUUCCAGCUAAAUGGGAUUGAUAAUAUUUUCCUGGCUAAUAGGACAGCAUGAGAGCUGAUUUAUCACCACUGUCAAGCGUGUCAUGAUCCUAGGGGAAAAAGGAUAAAAAUACAAUGGAGCUAAGACGUUGCAAAGGUCUUGUUGACAGACACAUGAGCAGUUAAAAAUUGUUACUCUGUUCAAUGCUCAAAUCACCAUUCUUUGUGCCACGUGCAUGCUUUUUCCUGGCUAAGUACAACAAGGAUUUCCAAAGAGUAAAGCAAAGCCUUGCAGAACCAGCAGCCUGGAGCUCCAGGCUUGGCUCUGUAUUUUGGUUUCCACAGAUGCCAAGUACCUGCAGAUGUCACUUUGGUUUGGGUGAUCAUACAUAGACUGAAGAGUGAAGCUUUUAACAGAAGUCCUGACCUGAAGGCUGUGGGAGAAAAACUGACUCCUAUUUGAUAAUUUGUUCACCUUCUGCUGCAAGGCAGAGUCAGUGCUCUCCCUUUAUUCAGUGGUCGACAAUGCCAGGUAAACUUUGGAAGGCACUUUUUGAAGUCCACUCUCCUGUCUGGAAGGAGUUAAGGCUGCAUUGAAAACUGUCUCUGUCUUCAGAUUGUGCUUACCCAGGGCUGUGGAAGAGGGAAAAAACACAACAGGGACUUCUCAGUGACUGUGCUCCAGGAGGAGAUAAGCCCCCACCCCAGUGAAGAGCCAGUGCAACCCUUGCUUCCCCGCAUAGCUGGGCCAUGGCAUGGUUCUGCACAGCUCUUUGUCUGGGUUUUGGAUGGGUCAAUGAACAGCUCUGUGACCCACUUCUUUCUGGACAGUCAAAAACAUCUACUGCACCAGAGAGAGGAGCUUCCCUGCAGGAGGUAGAGACUAUGGAUGUCCUGAGAUGUCCUCCUGGGAUAUCUGAAGUUGGGCCCUAUGCUUUUCCUGCUCACCUGUGGAAAGAGCCUCAAAUCCCAGGGCAGGCAGAAAAGACCUUGUUAAAGACAAAGAGUGCAAGGCCCCAAACUUCUCCUUGCUUGGAUGGAGGAUAAAUACAGUGGGGAGCAAACAGUACAAAGAAGUUCCACAUCCUCAGAGUUGUCAGAGGGGGGGCCAGGCUCCCUGGUGACUUCCAGAGAGAGCUCCUGCCCCUACCAAGUCAAGUGUAGCCAUUUACCCCAAUAAACCCCAAUAAAAGUUUGGGUUCCUGCUGAGUCA